CACAGCAGUCCCUCACACCCCCCUGAGAUGCGCCCCUGCCUGGGCGUCCAGUGUGGUUGUUUCGGGAAACAUGGUUUCUGCCUCAGGUUGAGUUCCCCUUACCCAAACUCUUUGGGAGUGAAAUCGUUUUGGAUGUCCGGUUUUCUCCAUCUUUGGAAUAUCUGCACAUUUAUAACGACGUACGGUGGGGACGGAACUCGAGAGACACGCGAUUCUUGCUUCGUGUACAGCUUACACACACAGCCUGAAGAUGGAGAAAGUUAAGUAACUCCUCACAACCAUACGCACACCCCACCAGGAUCCUUUGCCCACACUCCCCGAUGUACGUGUGAGGCAGGGCUAGGACAGGAGGAUUUGCGUGACGCCACGGACUUGAAGCCUGAUCACUGAGCAAAAUUUGACCUCAUUUCUCUCUGCAGUCAGAUUGAA